CUAUGGCAACCAGACAACGAGCAUUUAUAAAUUAAAAUUUCGAGUUUUUUUGUUGUGAUUCAGUUACUAUCUUCGUAGAGAGUUUGAAUUUUAAGAGAAAACUUAAAUUUGACUUUUAUAGACGUGAUCCAAUUUUAAAAUCAUUGAACUUUUUCUGAGAUAUUUAUAGACAUUUUAAUAUUAAUUGUUUCUUGUAAUAUUUAUUCUGUAGGUACUCAGUAGGUAAAAUUGUUAGACCAAACAGAAAUACUUAAAAAUGUAAUAGGAGGUCCAUUAUAAGUUGUAC